rnacentral:rRNA from 1 species
GAGUUUGAUCCUGGCUCAGGAUGAACGCUGGCGGCGUGCCUAAUACAUGCAAGUCGAGCGAACGGACGAGAAGCUUGCUUCUCUGAUGUUAGCGGCGGACGGGUGAGUAACACGUGGAUAACCUACCUAUAAGACUGGGAUAACUUCGGGGAAACCGGAGCUAAUACCGGAUAAUAUUUUGAACCGCAUGGUUCAAAAGUGAAAGACGGUCUUGCUGUCACUUAUAGAUGGAUCCGCGCUGCAUUAGCUAGUUGGUAAGGUAACGGCUUACCAAGGCAACGAUGCAUAGCCGACCUGAGAGGGUGAUCGGCCACACUGGAACUGAGACACGGUCCAGACUCCUACGGGAGGCAGCAGUAGGGAAUCUUCCGCAAUGGGCGAAAGGCCUGACGGAGCAACGCCGCGUGAGUGGUGAAGGUCUUCGGAUCGUAAAACUCUGUUAUUAGGGAAGAACAUAUGUGUAAGUAACUGUGCACAUCUUGACGGUACCUAAUCAGAAAGCCACGGCUAACU